GGGGGGGGCAAGCGUUGUUCGGAAUUACUGGGCGUAAAGGGCGCGUAGGCGGUUGGAUAAGUCAGCUGUGAAAACCACGAGCUCAACUUGUGGCCUGCAGUUGAGACUGUCUGGCUAGAGUGUGGGAGAGGGAAGUGGAAUUCCUGGUGUAGCGGUGAAAUGCGUAGAUAUCAGGAGGAACACCGGUGGCGAAGGCGGCUUCCUGGACCACAACUGACGCUGAGGCGCGAAAGCUAGGGGAGCAAACAGGAUUAGAUACCCUGGUAGUCCUAGCUGUAAACGAUGGAUACUUGCUGUGGGGGGUGUUAAAUCCUCCUGUGGCGAAGCUAACGCAUUAAGUAUCCCGCCUGGGGAGUACGGUCGCAAGGCUGAA
rnacentral:rRNA from 1 species